GGACUACCCGGGUUUCUAAUCCUGUUUGAUCCCCACGCUGUCGCGCCUGAGCGUCAGUAACGGGCCAGUGAGCCGCCUUCGCCACCGGUGUUCUUCCCAAUAUCUACGAAUUUCACCUCUACACUGGGAAUUCCACUCACCUCUCCCGUACUCAAGCCAUCCAGUUUCAGAGGCAUUUCCGGAGUUGAGCUCCGGGCUUUCACCCCUGACUUGAAUGGCCGCCUGCGCGCGCUUUACGCCCAGUAAUUCCGAACAACGCUAGCCCCCUUCGUAUUACCGCGGCUGCUGGCAC
rnacentral:rRNA from 1 species